rnacentral:misc_RNA from 1 species
AAGUCGUAACAAGGUUUCCGUAGGUGAACCUGCGGAAGGAUCAUUAAUGAAAUGCAAGGACGCUCUUUUUAGAGGUCCGACCAACUCAUUUACCCUUUACACGUGCACAUAUACUUUUUUACACCAAUUUUUUAACGCUUAGUUUAAGAAUGUAAAAUCAGUCUCGAAAGAGCUAAAAUAAAUAAAA